UACUUUGUUGUUCUUCACAAUUAGUUGGAGCUUUCUUUGGUCAACAGCAGAUGUGACUAAGAAAGUCACCCUGUUUCAUUUAGAGCAGUGGAUCACAAAGUGUGGUCCUCAGGCCACACAGCUUGGCAUCACCUAGGAACUAGGAAAUACAAGUUCUUAAGCAACCCCACCCAGACUUACUGAAUUGGAAGUGCUGAGGAUGGGGUCCAGCAAUCUGUGGUUGAACAAGCUCUGCAGGCAUCCAGGAACAGAGCUGUGGGGCAGCAGAAUCUGUGAUGACAGAGAAUGAUGAUGUAUUUUUGCCAGCAGAUGCUUUUGCUCCUGUUUUGAUACCCUGAUAUUCAGAUGCAGAGAAGGACUCUGAGCAUUGCUGACGGGUGUGUUCUGCACACCUAUGUCUUCAGGAUCUGAAUAAUUUGGUGGAAAGACAAUACCUUUUCUGGAAAAGGGCGUCAGUCUCCACAAAGAACAAUGUUCUUCCCAACCUGCCAAGACAACCAAAUAACAAAAGAAAUCCCCAUGGAACCCACCUGAAGUGCACAGAUCUGGGGACGUUGGGAGGAACAGAGGUAGUUUAGUGACUCUACUGUCCCUACCACCCAACCUGCUAUUAGCCCUGCUGGUCCACUUGUGUUUGAGGUCAUGAAUCAGUCUACUUAAUAAAAUCAUCAGCUGGAGCUUACAAAGCAAUAGUGCUUAACAGAUACAAGCAUGCUAAUAUAUUUUUUAAGUGAAUGCUGAUCUUUCUGAGCUGUGUGUCUGAAAUCAUCAUUGUGAAUAAAAGAAUUGUAAUUUCCAACCCAUACAUUUAACAAAGACAAAGUGGACUGUAAUGGAAUUUAUGGAGCCUGUAAAGGAACUCUUUUUCUAACAUGGUUUAUAAUCAAACGGAUUUGGAUUUACUGUAGGUCAAAUCAGGUCCCCCGAUGUGUAUCAAGAAAAAAAUUCCUGUAAGAUACCAAACACUGCUCCUGGCACCCUGGAAGGGCUCACACCUAUGGCUGCAGCUACUAGCUUCCUGGUGUCCUCAUUGUUUCCACCCCUAGUGAAUUCAGUACUUAAAUGUCAGCUUUGAAAUCAAUAUUUAUACUGUCUUUACGUAAAAUUAUGACAUUCUGUUCAUCCUGGAUUUUUUUAAUUUUGAUAUUUUGAAAAUAUUUUAUUUUGAUAGUUUGAAAAUAUUGCAUGAAACUAUCAUUUAUCUUGAUUCCUGAGGUUUUGGGUCUCCUCUUAAAUUUGGUGCCCAGGGCAAAAUCUUCUCUCACCUCACCCAAUUUCCAGCCCUGAACACCAUUUCUCAAAGGUGUUUGAGGUACUGGUUCUGCCACCCCACAGAACUGGACAAGGCAAAUCUAAGAGAAGAGUUAUUUCUUUUGAUCAUUUCAUGCUGUUUGCAUGAGAUUGUUAAGGAAGGCCCUUGCAACAAACGCUUCCUCGUGGAUUUACAAAUUGUCAGGCAUCCAAAGGAGUGGAGAAAAGAUCAUGCUGCCUCAGGAAUCUGAGAUUUGCCACCUGCCCAGAGUGAGAAACAGAAAAGAGUGCUGGGGUCAGGUCUCUCGUGGACUUUAUUUCACAUCCCACAUCAAAUUCUCCUGGUUAACACAAUGUUGAUUUACAUUUCCACUUUGGGGUGAAAGUUUUUAUUUGCUUACAUAUUUUGACACCAAUGUUACUUUCUUUCUUUUUCUUUCCCCCUGCCCCCAAACAGCUUCAAAUAGCCAUGACUGGCAGAAGAUGUCAAUCAUAUUUCAUUUCCAUUUUCACUUUGCUGUUUACAUUCUUUAAAUUAAUGCUUGCCCCAAUGAUUGUGAUAUUUAAAGACCAGCCUAGAAUCUAAUUGUGUACAUGUGAAACUGUUUUCUAAACCAUAAGAUGUUAUAUAAAUACAAACCACUAUUAUUAUUAACAUUAUUACUAUUAGCUCAUCCGGAAAUCAUAUCUUCCAUUGAGCCAAUGGUGUCAAGAGCCCCCUAGAAUUCUAAUAUAUAUUCCAGAUGGGUGCACUGAUACUUUCUUUGAAACUCAGAUAAAGGUAAAAUGCAUGGGUUUUUAGUGCAACCCAGGUGCCCGAUGAAGAAUGUUCUGCCAGAACAAUUUAGAAAUACAGUAUGCUUUUAACCUUGGGAGGUAAGGACCAGUGUGGAUUGUGACUUUACACUAAACACAGCAUUUAGUAUAUUUCUUAAGGGCAUAAUCACCUUCUAUAGAUGUUCUUGAACUAUAAAAUCAUUAUCUGUAUGCUAUUAUAAUUUGUCCUCGGACACAUCCUGUGCAAUAUUUUAUAAUGCUAGUGUAUGGAGGGCCCUUUCUGGUCAAUGCAUUAGAGAACAAGAUGUGGAGUGCAACAGAAGGGCUGGAAGGGGCUUGGGGAUGCUCUGGCCUCACCCUCUUUUGCCUCAAAGCUGCACUCAUAUGCAGACCCUGACCCAGGACCCAGAUCGGCUGAUUUCUAAUUCAGAUCAUUUGCUGCCAGAAUUCUGCCUGUGAGUGAGAACAGCAUGAGGAUAUGAGCUUCUUGAGUCAGUCCACCUGCCCACGUCCCAGCUCUGACCCUCUUUAGAGCUCUGAUCUCAGACCAGUUACUCCAUACCUCGAUGUCCUACGAUCUACUGUGAUCCCUACUGGACCAAGGAGGACAUCAAAUUUGGGAGAUGCUUUGGGAUUACGUGACAUAACCAGGGGGCUGCAGGCUGACAGCCUGAGGACCAACUACUGUCCCCAGUGUGCUGAGCUUGGCACCGCCCUGCUGACACACAGGAUUUCACAUGUGGGACAAUCUUUAAGUCUGAAGAUUGUCCAUAUAAAUAUGGAUUUGCAACUUCUAAUUAAAAAUCUUGUAGAGGACUGAGUCUUCAUUCCAAAAGGGUGCCUUUCUUCUGGGGCAGGAGCUUAUCAGCUGCUCAAAUGCCCCACUGCUGCCUACUGUACCCUCAGAUAUAGGGCAGACAUCCCAUGUUUGCAUUUCUGGCCCUGGAACGUGUGACACUCAAGUGUACCAUCCCUGAAAUAAAGAUUUUAAGGCAUGGGAUAUCCCUCCGCAAAUGCCAACUCACAUUGAGUGGGUAGAGGGGUAAGAGUUAACCACACAGGCCUCAAAGCCACACUGUUGGGUCUGAACCUAGGUAUUUGGCAAAUUAUCUAACUUCAGUUUUCUCAUCAAUAAAAUGAGAAUUAGAGUACCUAUCUAAUGGGUUGUUGUGAGAAUGGACUGAAAAUAUGAAAAGCACUUAAAAGAAUUCCUAGUGAGCUCUUUCUAAAUGCUACCCAUGAUUAUUGCCUUGGCUUUGAAGAGUCAGAGCAAUGAGAGUUCUCUGCUGCUGGGUCCUUCUCCACACCAGUCUGCCACCUUUGGACAUGGUGUAAUUCACAUGGGUCCAUACUCUCUCUCCUUCCCCAAACAAUUGAUCCAGUAACCAACCCUUAGAAUGGGGUGAGCAUUCCCACCCCCACCUGACCCCUAGCCUUGCAUCUCAUUCAACUGUCACCUUUGUCCCUUGUUUCAUAUGGCCCCAAUGAAGUGCUCAAGUUAAAUAAUUAGGUUUUGCCAAAUGUCAUAAAAACAAGAAAAGCCAGAAAACGUUUAAACGGACCUCAAUUGGAGAAGGCUGGAACCAUUCAGGGCAAGAACAAAUGAAAGACAGAUGGGGACAGAGGAACCCCACUGUUUCCUCUAAAUUACAGGAAAUUCACGCGGCCUGAUUGUGAGGGCCUCUUUUCUUUCCCUUGAAUUUCUUCUGGGAGGUCAUGGGAUUGAUCAGCGUAUGCAGACACGUGGGAGACAGAAGAAGGGGCAGCGGCAUGGCAGGGUAGAGAGGCAGUGACUCCUUCACCAAGCCCUCCCACCAUGUCUUCCUUUCACCUGACUACCUGUCCACCCUUGAAGGGACAGGCUAGGCUGCCUCCUCCAGGAUGCCUUCCCAGAUUAUUAUGACAACAUCAAUUCUCUCCUUUCUUUAAAAAAUCCCCUGGCACUUCUGAUCUCAUACCUUGCAUUAUUAUAAUUUGUUUUCAAUUCUAAUGUGUUCUACUCCCCCAGCUAGGCUUACAAGCUCCUCUGUUGGAGUUCACAUAUCACUGAGUCUCUCACAAUGCUGGGCCCUGAAAAGUUCCCAAUAAAUAGCUCCUGGCAGCUACAGAGGCGAUGUUGCAAAGGGGAGAAGCACAGCUUAGUGAUCAGGAGCCCCGGGGUUCUAGGCCUGCCUUGCAUCAACUGUGUGGCCUUGGCAAGACACUUCCCUUUCCUGGGGGGAUGAGCAUUAGUUAAGUAUGAGACCCCUCUGGCUCUGAUUUGUAAUGACUCUGAGUUUAAUGUCGGGCAUACCUUUUUCUUGUUCUUUUCCUUAAAAUCUUUUUAAAGCUGCACAAUAAGAGAGAACCACAAGCCUAGCCAGAGAAAUUAGAUAAUUGCAUCAAAUACGAAUAUACGAACUCGUAAGUUACGUAAAAGCAACAGUACAAAAGAUGUUGCAUGAGAAUGUCAAGGGAGGGCUACGUGAAAUGUCUUAGACAAUAAGUAAGUCCUAGAGAGAGAAUUGUUCAGGAAAAAAGAAAAAGAAAGAAAGAAAAUGAAGACAACUUGAAACAAGAAUAGGAUGAAUAGAGAGGUCAGCCUUAUUUACCGUAUAUCCCCAGAUGGAGCACAGGGCCUGGCACUCGGGGCACUUGACCCACGAUGCUGAACAGACUAAGGAGUGGCAGUCAAGGGCGGGAAGGGCAUGCCAGGUGGAAGACACAGCCUGAACCAAGGCAAGGUGGUUGGAAAAUACUAAACUGUAUGAACUGUAAGAAAGUCAGUUUGGCUAGAGCAGGAAAAUGUAUUUGAGGGCACAGUUGGAGGUAUAAAGGGCAGAUAGUGUAAGCAUUUACAUUCCAAAUGAUAGAAUUUGGGCAAUAUUUGGUAAUAAUCUGAAUCUUCUGGGAAAGUUAUUUUUCUUUCGAUUUAAAUACUGAAGUUCAAAGAGGAUAGUGGGUGGGCUUUGCAUCUUGAAAAGUCUAUCAGAAACUGCCUAGCUCGCUCAGCCCACUUUUCUUUCCAAGGUAAGAAACACACAUUUGUGCAUGGAAAUAAAGUGGGGAGGCCCUUGGCAAUGGUCCAGUUCCAUUGAAGGUCUCAUUUUUCUUUUUUUUCUGGAGAGCUUAUUGAACAGGAAAAUAAAGUUAUCUAAUGCCUUGGAAAGGGGUCCCGUGAAACUCACAAGGCCUAUUCCUCACAGCCCAGCCAGGUAAAUUUACCCUGAUUUCAGGAUGGCUAUUUCUUGUCUUCAACUACUCCAGCUGAUCCCAUACCCUCUACAGAGAAGUGGAAGGAAACCCAUCAGGGUUUGACUUUUACAUGAAAACUGACUGCAAUCCAUAUUUUCAAAAAGUCAUUUUCAACCAAACCAGUGCUUUAAAAUAGAUUCACUGAGAAGAAAAUGUUUCCCCAAUCCUCUCCUCCUUGAUUUUGUUGAAUCAAUAACACUUCAAGAUGUUCUCUGUGAAAAUCACAUGGGUGAAUUCAAUAAGAACGUACAUUAUAUUAUCUAGAUCCUCAACUUGCAGCCCUUAGCGCAGUAUGCCUGAGAAAAGUUUAAAAACUCAAAAGAGAGAAAUCCUAUUCAAAGAGUAAAAUACUGCCUAUGCUUCCAAAGUUCUUUAUGGCCUGAUAGGUAGAAAAUUUAAUAAUGAAGGGCCGGAAAUGGUGGCUCACAUUUGUAAUCCCAGCACCCUGGGAGGCUGAGGCAGGUGGAUAUCUUG